AUGAUCAGUAUUGGAGAGCAUAGGUUUUGACUAUUGAAAAGCAACUUGCUUUUUAAUAAAUUGUCAGAAUUUAUCGCCGAAGGGGCAAGAUAAUUGUUCGAAUCUCUCAGGCAAAAGGAUAAUACUGUGACG
rnacentral:ncRNA from 2 species